AGUGAACGCUGGCGGUAGGCCUAACACAUGCAAGUCGAACGGCAGCACAGUAAGAGCUUGCUCUUACGGGUGGCGAGUGGCGGACGGGUGAGGAAUACAUCGGAAUCUACUUUUUCGUGGGGGAUAACGUAGGGAAACUUACGCUAAUACCGCAUACGACCUACGGGUGAAAGCAGGGGAUCUUCGGACCUUGCGCGAUUGAAUGAGCCGAUGUCGGAUUAGCUAGUUGGCGGGGUAAAGGCCCACCAAGGCGACGAUCCGUAGCUGGUCUGAGAGGAUGAUCAGCCACACUGGAACUGAGACACGGUCCAGACUCCUACGGGAGGCAGCAGUGGGGAAUAUUGGACAAUGGGCGCAAGCCUGAUCCAGCCAUACCGCGUGGGUGAAGAAGGCCUUCGGGUUGUAAAGCCCUUUUGUUGGGAAAGAAAAGCAGCAGGUUAAUACCCCGCUGUUCGGACGGUACCCAAAGAAUAAGCACCGGCUAACUGCGG
rnacentral:rRNA from 1 species